AUGCUGGUCGCACUGUGCUCCGUCAUGACUCCGGUGACACACGCCGAGCUCCUUCUCCGCCGGCGACACACGCUUGGCGUCCCUCUGCGCCCUGCACAUUCCGCGCGCACCCGACGCGCCCAACGAGCCCGACCGCACCAGUGCGUCCUGCACGUCCCACACGCACCCGACGCGCCCGACGAGCCUGACCGCACCAGACGCCAUGGACUCACCGCGCGCCGCCUCUGCGUCCGCCAUGGCAGCCGCACCGCCGCGCACCUCCACAAGCCGACACACGGCCCGGAGCUUCACCGCGCAGCUGCCGGUGAACGCCGCCACCGCCGGCACGCCUCCGGCAAGGGGACGACACCUAAGAUGAACCAGCUCAUGAUACCAAUUGUUGGUGUCUAG
rnacentral:rRNA from 1 species